rnacentral:rRNA from 1 species
UACGUAGGGGGCAAGCGUUGUCCGGAAUCAUUGGGCGUAAAGAGCGUGUAGGCGGCUCGAUAAGUCUGCUGUGAAAGUCCAGGGCUCAACCCUGGAAGGCCGGUGGAAACUGUCGGGCUAGAGUCCGGAAGAGGCGAGUGGAAUUCCCGGUGUAGCGGUGAAAUGCGCAGAUAUCGGGAGGAACCACCAAUGGCGAAGGCAGCUCGCUGGGACGGUACUGACGCUGAGACGCGAAAGCGUGGGGAGCAAACAGG